rnacentral:rRNA from 1 species
UCGACCUGAGAUUAGAUAAGAUUACCCGCCGAAUUUAAGCAUAUUAAUAAGCGGAGGAAAAGAAAACAACUGUGAUUCCCUUAGUAAUGGCGAAUGAAACGGGAAGAGCCCAUCGUGUAACUGCAGGUCAUCUUGGCCUCGCGGGAUGUCACGUUCGGGAGAGUCUCAUCGGGAGCCGGACGGCCAGUCAAAGUCCAACUUGACAGUCGCCAUUGCCCAUAGAGGGUGAUAGGCCCGUAAGGCGGCCGUCUGUUUCCGCUGACUUUUCCCUAGAGUCGGGUUGCUUGGGAGUGCAGCCCAAAGUGCGAGGUAAACUCCUCGUAAGGCUAAAUAUGACCCAGAGACCGAUAGCAAACAAGUACCGUGAGGGAAGAUUGAAAAGAACUUUGAAGAGAGAGUUCAAUAGUACGUGAAACUGUGUGGUGGUAAACGGAGGGGUUCUCGAAGUCUCUGCGGGGAACUCAACCUUGGUGCGGGGCGGUCUGGGCGUGUCCGAUCAGCGAUGACGGCGCGUUCUCUCCGGCUCUGCUCCCGGGUGCAUUUCCCCCGCAGUUUACGGCAGGAACCGUUUGGCUGGGACCGAAGGCCUCGGGUGAAGUUGUCGCUUCUGGUGGCAGCCCCGGGUGUCCUGGCUCCGAGCCGACGGGUACGCGAGAGGACUCGUAUAGCGAGCAACGCUCUGUGCGGUCUC